rnacentral:rRNA from 1 species
GCAAGUAGAGCGAUGAUUAAAGAUAGCUUGCUAUUUUUAUAGAAGAGCGGCGAACGGGUGAGUAACGCGUGGGAAAUCUGCCGAGUAGCGGGGGACAACGUUUGGAAACGAACGCUAAUACCGCAUAACAAUGAGAAUCGCAUGAUUCUUAUUUAAAAGAAGCAAUUGCUUCACUACUUGAUGAUCCCGCGUUGUAUUAGCUAGUUGGUAGUGUAAAGGACUACCAAGGCGAUGAUACAUAGCCGACCUGAGAGGGUGAUCGGCCACACUGGGACUGAGACACGGCCCAGACUCCUACGGGAGGCAGCAGUAGGGAAUCUUCGGCAAUGGGGGCAACCCUGACCGAGCAACGCCGCGUGAGUGAAGAAGGUUUUCGGAUCGUAAAACUCUGUUGUUAGAGAAGAACGUUAAGUAGAGUGGAAAAUUACUUAAGUGACGGUAUCUAACCAGAAAGGGACGGCUAACUACGUGCCAGCAGCCGCGGUAAUACGUAGGUCCCA